GCGGCCUCGGUGCCUCUUGGUUCGCGCUCCCCGAAACGCGUGCAGUCUGGCCCGGAUCCGCUGUCUCUCCGUACGAUCUGUCUCUCCUCCCCGCCUUUAGCUUACAAUUCAUCAACGCAUAAAAGGCGGUCGCCACGAAGCCUCCAGCCUCUUUUGCCGCCGCGGAGCCCAGCAGGAGCUUCCCAAAGACAACGCGUCCCCAAGGACUAUCCCCCGUGUCCGGCAAGUCUGUCCUGCUGGAGCCCAAACCCCAGGACUCAGCGCAGGAGGGCCCCCGACCCGCUGGCCGGCCGCGAGGCGGUGAGCGCCGGAGCCGAGCGGAAGCUUUCCGCCAGGCUGCGAUCGGCGCCUCGGUUCGCAGGGAGGUGGCCGUUCCCAGCCCUUGGGAAAACAGGUUCUAACCGCCACCGCCAAGCCCGACAGCCAGGGGCCCUGCUGAGACCUGCAGACAAUCCGGCUGCGUUUCACCCUCCUCCACGAACUGCCACGGUUUGCCCAGAAGCCCGCCGGCCCCGCGGCCCGGCAGCAUGACAACUGGUAAAUCGUUUCGUUAGACGCAAUUUGUUUGCAAUUUGUCAUCCCGGCUGGGAAACGCUCUCCAGACGCCUGGGCAGCCGCAAUGGCCCUACCUGCUUCUCCAAUCUUGCCUACUCACGAAGGAAGCCCAGCCUGAGGUGCCUGCGUAGACCCAGAGCUUUCUGCCAGAUGUCCCGAGAGAGACGUGGCUUUUUCCAAAACAACGAAUUUCCUUCCGUGUUUUCCGGGAAAGGAGCGGUCGCUACAUCCGGGGGCCCUGAACAUCAGACCUUUCCCCUCACAGUUGGGGCAACCUGGAGUUCAAGCCUGGCCGCCGCCAAAGGAUUCUAAAUGCCCUGGGUCCAGACAGACCCAGACCGCCGCCGUCGGCGCCUCCCGGCGGCGAUCCCCGAGCCCGCGACGGCUCCAUUCUUAUUGAAAUCCCACUAAAAGGAUUCCGACUCUGGGGCAGGGGGGAGACUUCCAGACCUUGUGCUCUCCCCCACCCGCACCCCAGCCACACAGGAUAAAGGGCGGCGGGGCGCGGCGCGCGGGGGCGCACGCAGGAGCGCGCCGGGUUAAGCCGCGCAAAGCCGGCGCACGGGACCAGUCGGCAGGUGCAGCCGCCGAUCGGCGGCCCGGCUCGGGCGCAUCGCCGCCGAGGCCCGGAGGUGGGGGGCGGCCGAGACAAAGGGCCCAGCUCUGGGGCUGGGAGGCGGGGCGGGGGGGAGCUUUGCGUCUCUUGGAAUAACCGUGGCUCGCGGCCUGUGGCUCCGUCCGAGAAAUGGGAAGGCGGGAGGCUCGAGGCGGGCCUGUGGUCCCCAAUUCCCCAAACACUCCCUCUGACCUGGGGUUCCAGCCGCCGGUAGGGCCAGGGCGAGCCCCAAAGGCCGCAUGUCAGGGACCACUGUUCCAGGCGCACCGCGCGAUUACGGAGCCAGGUGGACCGGCCUGGGAGCUGGAAAGGCCCUGGCGAGGCGGAGAAGGGGCGACUUACCGAGCGAGUUGCAGCGGG
rnacentral:lncRNA from 1 species